CUACAACGGACCGUACAAAGUAGGUACGCCCGACAUCUCCUCUAUCUACGCCUAGAAAUACCAAAGCCCGCCAUAGGGUCCCACAAAUUAUGCAAGUGGCCAGUAACCAUCUCUUUAAUUGACGUCUCCUGCCCGAUCAAGGUAACUUCGGAAACCCUAACUACAGAUCGAUUGCAGAAACGACGACUUGAAUUGCCAUGGAUAAUACAAGGAAAGGAAGUCGAGGACGCCUUUUCGAAGGUCUCUACAGAGUUAUCAUGCGCCGUAACUCUAUCUACGUUACUUUUAUCAUCGCCGGUGCUUUUGCCGGGGAAAGGGCUGUGGAUUAUGGUGUUCGUAAGAUCUGGGAGUACAAUAAUGUUGGGAAACGGUAUGAAGACAUUCCUGUUCUGGGGCAAAGGCAAGCUGAAGAAUAGAUUAGUGAACUCCUAUUCCUUGCCAUAUUGAAGUUCCAUUUAAAAAUUUAGAGUUCGAACUCUUGCUCAUCUUCACCAAGACUUGCUUUCUAGUAUGGUGUUAGCCUUUCUUGACUCACAAGUGUGUCGGGUGAUAAUUCAGUGUAACAAUGUGUUGGGAUCUAAAAGACAUUUUUAAUGUUUGUGGAAACUGGGCAGUGCUUUGACAGAUUCAUUGCCCAAGACCUCAGAAAUUUGUGAAACCAAAUGAUGUUUUUCUUGUUCCUUGGAAUAAACUGUUAAUAUAUUCAAGUUAAUGAUGUAUUUACAAACCGGCA